rnacentral:lncRNA from 1 species
GAAACCUUGUCUCAUAGCUAUCCACCAUUAUUUGUCAAAAUACAUGUUUCCUCAUGGCACAGAAAGCAAAUUUCUACCCAUAAAAUAUGUUCAAUGUGAGGGGAAAACAGGUAUGUGCGUUGCACUGCCGAACAAAGGUGCAACGAGGUACAAUUCCUGCUGUGCAGGGUGUCCCCAGUUGACAACCAUGAACAAAAAAUUCAACGUAACAGAUGUACCCAGGCUACAAAUUAGAUUGAAUACAGAGAUUCUAGUAUUCGGGCUGCUUUAUUUCCUCACUCAUUUGCUGGGAAAGGGAAAACAUGAUCUUACAAAGGAAUUGAAAACGACUUCUUCAGCUUCUCUACCUCCAAAUAAGCAUUAGAGUAUGGGAGAAACUCCGAGAAAUGGCUUUGCAUAAGAUCAUUGAUGGCCACAGCGAGCUUUGGAAUCUCCAUUAUCUCUUCGUUGGUCAGCUUCCUAACAAACCUGGCAGGGUUGCCAGCCCAGAGUUCGCCAGUCGGAAUCCUCCUCCCUGGGGCCAGGACGGAGCCAGCUUCAAGGACUGAGUUAGUUUCAACCAAUGAG